rnacentral:rRNA from 1 species
UACGUAGGAUCCAAGCGUUGUCCGGAAUUACUGGGUGUAAAAGGUGCGCAGGCGGACUUGUGCGUCAGAGGUUAAAUACCCCGGCUCAACCGGGGAAAUGCCUUUGAAACGGCAGGUCUUGAGUGCGAGAGAGGAUGGUAGAAUUCCCGGUGUAGCGGUGAAAUGCGUAGAUAUCAGGAGGAAUACCAGUGGCGAAGGCGGCCAUCUGGCUCGCAACUGACGCUCAGGCACGAAAGCGUGUGGAGCAAACGGG